GGAGGUGUUUGCAUCACCAUCGGUGACGGUGUUUGAAACCCAUAUGGUGGUGGGGAUUGGUAAAAAGAUGAGUUUCCCGACGGCCCCUCUGGCGAUCCCUCGUGCGUUGCUGGCCUAUACAUCAGCGGUCCACUCGGCGUAACAGGAAAUGGAGCUGAACCGGGCCAUUGGCUCCAACCUGCCAUAGAACUCGAAAAAGGAAACAUAUAAGGGUUAGGAUACAUAAAAGGGCUAGGUAACGCACCUGGCAUCAUCUGAAAAGGCGGUUGCGUGGGUAUCAUCAGUUGAACUGUUGGGUCGGGUGAUUGUGUAGGUGCUAUCGUUG
rnacentral:lncRNA from 1 species